rnacentral:lncRNA from 10 species
GCUGGGUGUGGUGGCUCACGCCUGUAAUCCCAGCACUUUGGGAGGCUGAGGCAGGCAUAUCACUUGAGGCCAGGAGUUUGAGACCAGCCUGGCCAACAUAGUGAAGCCCAUCUCUACAAAAAAUUAGCUGGGCGUGGUGGUGCAUGCCUGUAAUCCCAGCUACUAAAGAGGCUGAGGCAGGAGAAUCACUUGAACCCAGGAGGGGGAGGUUGCAGUGAGGUGAGAUCGUGCCACUGCACUCUAGCCUGGGUGACAGAGCAAGUCUCUGUCU